rnacentral:lncRNA from 1 species
CUGACGUCAGAGACCACCCCUUCUGCGCCUCGAUAUAAACCCCACCCAGCCAGCCCCUAGCGCAGACGGCGGAGAGCUGGGAUGGAGCGCGCCGUGGCCCGCUGGCCUUGGCCGCAGCUCCUCGGGAGAGCCGGGGCGCCCGCGCGAGAACCUCCCUACUUGGGUCUCUGUUCAAGGAUGACAUCAUCCGCUUGCCUCCCUGUCUUCAAGGACCACCUCUGGAUGCCAAGCUGAUGCCAAGGUGCUUGCUGCUCACCUCCAGCUCAUGAGGAUGCUGGGAGCAUGGAUUCCUGGAUGCCACCAGCAUACAAAGCAGCCACUGGCAGUGACCCCCAGGACC